rnacentral:rRNA from 1 species
CUGACCGUGCAAAGGUAGCAUAAUCAUUUGCCUUAUAAUUGAAGGCUAGUAUGAAUGGUUUGACAUGAAUGUAGCUGUCUCUUUAUAAUUUAAUAGAAUUUUAUCUUCAGGUGAAGAAGCCUGAAUUCGAUUAAAAGACAAGAAGACCCUAUCGAGCUUGAAAGAAAUUGAUGGAAUUAAAGUCAAUACAGUUAAAAGAUUAUCUGUCAUAUAUUUUAGUUGGGGCGACUGAGGAACAUAAAAAGCUUCCUUUAAAAAUAUUAGUUUAAGUCAAACUAGAAUUGAUCCAAAAUAUUUUGAUUAAAGGAAAUAGUUACCGUAGGGAUAACAGCAUUAUCUUUUUUAAGAGCUCAUAUCGAAAAAAAGGUUUGUGACCUCGAUGUUGGACCAGAAUAUCCUAAAGGUGCAGCAGCC